GCACAAGCGGCGGAGCAUGCGGAUUAAUUCGAUGCAACGCGAAGAACCUUACCAAGGCUUGACAUACACCGGUAACGCCCAGAGAUGGGUGCCCCUUUGUGGUCGGUGGACAGGUGGUGCAUGGUUGUCGUCAGCUCGUGUCGUGAGAUGUUGGGUUAAGUCCCGCAACGAGCGCAACCCUCGUCCCAUGUUGCCAGCGGGUGAUGCCGGGGACUCAUGGGAGACUGCCGGGGUCAACUCGGAGGAAGGUGGGGAUGACGUCAAAUCAUCAUGCCCCUUAUGUCUUGGGCUUCACGCAUGCUACAAUGGCCGGUACAGAGGGUUGCGAUGCCGUGAGGCGGAGCGAAUCCCAAAAAGCCGGUCUCAGUUCGGAUUGGGGUCUGCAACUCGACCCCAUGAAGUCGGAGUCGCUAGUAAUCGCAGAUCAGCAACGCUGCGGUGAAUACGUUCCCGGGCCUU
rnacentral:rRNA from 1 species